AUGACCUGGGAGAGCGUCAGGACUGCCUGCCCACCAGGGGCCUGUGGAACGAGAGACUCCUUCCCCUGUGGAAUGCUCAGUGGAGGAUGCAGGCAUCUCUCGGCUCUGUGCUGUGCAGCCUCCCAUGGACACCUGUGCUCUGCUUUGGACACAAGAUGUGUGGAUCAGCGUGGCAGUUGGAGUGAGGCAUCACCACAGGCUGACUGUUCUCAGACAACUGAUGUGUGGCCAAGAGGGGAAAUGGAUUCCUUUUGGGUAGAUUGUCUGCUUGAAUUCUUGGCUCACUUUGAGCCAAGACAAUUGAGGAAAUUGUCUUUUUCUUUUCACUUUUAAAGAGCUGUUUCCAUAAAAGGGAAUUUAGCCCUUUACCAUAUAUGUUCUAAAUGACUUAUUCUGUGUUCCCUUUCCUUUUGACCUUUGUGGUGUUUGUGUCGGGUGUGUGUGUUUGUGCGCGUGUGCACACUACACAAAAUGUAUAGCCAGAUUUAUUAUUCUUUUCCGUUGGCCUCUGCAUGUCGUACCAGCUUAGAAAGGGCUCCCUAGUCGAGCAUGCAAUUCAGUUUCAAACACUUGAACUUUUAACCCAGGGAUUCUCAGGCCUGGCUUUCUGUUUGGAAUUGGAUCUCAGGUCUGAUGUACUUUGGGCUGAUCUGUAUUUUAUCUUGCAAAGAGAAAUAUUAAUUUCCAAACUUGUGAGUUCUUGGGAGCUCCCCUACUGUCACUGAGGCAGGCCCUAAAUGCAGAGUGAGAUGAAGUUCUGCUCCUCCUCUUGGCAUAGCUCCUCCUCCCUGGCCAAGCCCACUGGUUUGGGCAGACAGGUGUCAGGUCCUGAGAUCACAAACAGGGGAGAGAACUGUGUCCCAAGUAAGGAGAAUCAGGAAUGCUUACCUGGGACAUGCAUCAAGAUGGGGGAAGACAGGACUGGCAGGUGGGAGGGAUCUGUGCUGGCUCUUCUGAGCUACAUUGUUCACUCCACCGAGAUAGCCUAGGCCGGCAUGGCCAUUGCCAGCUGACACUUUCCACCUGGCGUGUCUGAUGGCAACUCUUGUCAGCUGGUGGCCCCUUAGCUCCUGGCCAGGUGCAUUCCCGAAGGCCUAUUGGUCCCAAAGUCCUUUAGCCUGGUUCUUUGAUGGCUCCUUCUGCUUCUAGGGUCAUGGUAUCGCAUAAUGGAGCUCUGAAAGACAUGGCCAUCGAGGUGUUGUCACAUGUACCCAGCACAGUCCAGGGGACAGAAGUUUAGAAAGUCAGCAGGUGUGGGACAAGGUGAGGGACUUCUGCAAACCGGCAGGCCUUGGUGAGCCCAUGGCCUUCCGAGGGCUGGUGGCCAGAGGCGUCCUUCACUUGAGCAGCAUCAGAGGGCGUGGGCUGACCUCAUAAAGGGGCCAUGGGUGUGACUACCUGGCUGGGGAGUAAAGCCAGAGGGCAGAAGCACCCUGGAGUGCAGACCCCAGCAGACACUUGACCAUGCACAGAGGCAUGAACUGAGCGUGCUGGGGACAGAGAACAGCCAAGGGGCAGCCGGCAGUCAGUUCAAGUCCUCACGAAGGAGGGCAAUACCACCUGUGGGCCGGGACCGUCGGCUCGAGGGCCAGCAGCCAGGAAUGUGGUGAAGAACUUGGAUCUGAAGUGGGCCCAUGGUGUAGCUGUGGUGUGCUUGCCAGAGUGGCCUCCAAGCCCACCCUGGAAGGUGAUCCAGAGACCAUAGAGCAGAAAGGCUUCCUUGUCAGAGUGAGCUGCUGGAAGCCCACCAGUGUCAGGUCAGUGUAAAAUAAGGAGCGGGAAGAGGGUGGAACAGGUCAAUGUGCUUAAAACACAGAGAAAUGGGGUGACGGUGAGGAGACCAUCUGCCUGGUCCUAGGUCCUCCGUGUUCACAUCCCCCAUCUCUCUCAGUCGCAUCAGCUCCCCAGUAAUGGUAGGGUGGGGGUGCCACAGUGGACACUUGGGCAAGAGUCCUAGAGAUGGAAGGUGCUUGUCAGUCACACACACUGGUUUAUGAACAGAUGCAGGCAGGGCUGCCCCAGCCAGCUGAUGAACCUCCUGCAUAGCUGAGGACUUGAUUUGCAUUUCUAGGGGAGAGCUUGUAGGGUACCAGAAUGAUGUCACCAGAGGGUGGCCAGAUUAAAACCUUAUGAAUCUUCUGGCUGUGUGUAUGUCAUUUAUAUUUAGUGCCUGAUAGAUAUCAGGUGUCUCUUAGUUUUGUCAACACGUUCUGUGUUCAACUUAGAUAUACACUGCCUCCACAUAUAUUUCAUUAACACAACUUACGAUUUCUGCCUACGUGUGUCUCUAUUUGCCCACUCUCUAUACACAUUUUAACCGGUUUGCCUGUCUUACAAACUACAUGCUCAUUUAUAUUCUAUAGUAGAAUUGGAUAUCCUCAAAAGCAAAUGUACAUUCCAAGCUGUUAUCUACAUGUGUGUAUCUCUUAGAUUGAGAUAGGUUACAAGGAAGGGCAGGCCCUGAGUUAAAGAGUGGAUGCUUCCAUCAAGUAUGCUUAGGUGCUCUCUUGACCUCUUGAUGAGCCUCAUUUUCCUCCUAUAUAAAGGGGUUACUCACUAAACAGCCCCAUGGGGGAUGGCAGUGAUUACAUAAGGCACACAAAGUGCCUAUGGAAUGCUCUCAACCCUGGUUUUCAUGGAGGCUCCAUUUCAUAGGCAUGGUUGAUUAACUGGUCAUUGGUGAUUAACACAAUCUUUUGCCUCUCUUUCCUCCCUGGGGUGGAGGGUGGGGCUGAAAGGUCCAACCCACUAACCACACUGCAACCAGCCUCCAUCCUGAGACUAUCUGGGAUCCCACCAGGAUUCACCUCAUUAGCAUACACUCAGGUGUGGUUAAAAAGGGCAUGUUAGAAAUAACCAAGAUGCUGCUAUCACAUCUCAACCACUCAGGCAAUUGUAAGGGUUUUAGGUGCUUCCUGCUAAAAACCUGGGGUGAAGACCAAAUGUAUAUUUCUAAUUCUACUACAAUAUCACCACUGUGUUAACAGAAGUUCCUUCCUUUUAAUCAGCAGUGCCAAGAGAAGCUGGGGUGCCAGUGUCUGUGCAUCUUCAGAGGCAGCAGGGGCCAGCGUGCCACAUCUGGCCCCAGUCCUGAAAGGAUAGAUGGUGCUUGGCCUG
rnacentral:lncRNA from 1 species